AGGGCUAAGGCUUUCAAAAGGCAGUGUACAGGUUUUGGUUUUUGCAUUUGUGUUUGUUUUUGUUUGUUGGUUGGUUUUAGAAUACUUAAUGCUUUAAUUGGACCAUUUUUCAGUGCUUGCAGCCCCUGUAUGCAUGAAGGAUAGAACUGAGGUGUUACAGGAAUGUUCCAAAAUAUUUUCUGUUACACUUGGAAAAAUAUAUUCAGUUCCUAGAUUUCAGGUUAUUUUGCUGUUAGAUAAGCAGCAUGAAAAAACAGUAUUUUUUCCUCCCGAACUUUCUUGAUUAAAGGGUCGAGUGGUGGAAAAUAUCUCGAAGCGAUGCGGUGGAUUCCUGAGGAAGCUCAGCUUGCGAGGCUGCAUUGGUGUUGGGGAUUCCUCCUUGAAGACCUUUGCACAGAACUGCCGAAACAUUGAACAUUUGAACCUCAAUGGAUGCACAAAAAUCACUGACAGGUAAGUAAUGAAGAUUAAUUGGUGACCAAAUAGCCACGGGGAGAGAGAAGGGAGAGAAACGUGGUUGAAAAUAUCUUUAGUGCGUCUGCUCUUUUUCAGCACGUGUUAUAGCCUUAGCAGAUUCUGUUCCAAGCUGAAACAUCUGGAUCUGACCUCCUGUGUGUCUAUUACAAACAGCUCCUUGAAGGGGAUCAGUGAGGGCUGCCGAAACCUGGAGUACCUGAACCUCUCUUGGU
rnacentral:sRNA from 1 species